rnacentral:lncRNA from 1 species
GGACUUUUGGCAAUUUGGCAUGGAUGCAACAGUAUAGUCACAUUGAAACUGAUUACCAGACUCCAGGGACAUCAGACCACUCCCUAUACUAAUCCACUGCAAAACUGGAAACCAGAGAACAAACUUACAUCCUAAACCUAUAUAGUCACAUUGAAACUGAUUACCAUACUCUAGGGACAUCAGACCACUCUCUUAUACUAAUCCACUGCAAAACUGGAAACCAGAGAACAAACUUACAUCCUAAACCUUUCAAACUGUACUUACCUGUAAUGGAGCACAAUGACUUCACAACUAUAGUAGGGAAAGUUUGGAAGCAGAGGGGAAAUGAGGAAACUG